rnacentral:rRNA from 1 species
AGUGGCGGACGGGUGAGUAACGCGUGAGAAUCUGCCUUGGGGUCGGGGACAACCACUGGAAACGGUGGCUAAUACCGGAUACGCCUUCGGGUAAAAGAUUUAUUGCCCUAAGAGGAGCUCGCGUCUGAUUAGCUAGUUGGUGAGGUAAGAGCUCACCAAGGCAGCGAUCAGUAGCUGGUCUGAGAGGACGAUCAGCCACACUGGGACUGAGACACGGCCCAGACUCCUACGGGAGGCAGCAGUGGGGAAUUUUCCGCAAUGGGCGAAAGCCUGACGGAGCAAGACCGCGUGAGGGAGGAAGGCUCUUGGGUUGUAAACCUCUUUUCUCAGGGAAGAAGCUCUGACGGUACCUGAGGAAUCAGCCUCGGCUAACUCCGUGCCAGCAGCCGCGUUAAUACGGAGGAGGCAAGCGUUAUCCGGAAUUAUUGGGCGUAAAGCGUCCGCAGGUGGCGAUUCAAGUCUGCUGUCAAAGCACGGGGCUUAACUCCGUAAAGGCAGUGGAAACUGAAUAGCUAGAGUGCCGUAGGGGUAGAGGGAAUUCCCGGUGUAGCGGUGAAAUGCGUAGAGAUCGGGAAGAACAUCGGUGGCGAAAGCGCUCUACUGGACGGCAACUGACACUCAGGGACGAAAGCUAGGGGAGCGAAUGGGAUUAGAUACCCC